rnacentral:rRNA from 1 species
UACGUAGGGUGCAAGCGUUGUCCGGAAUUAUUGGGCGUAAAGGGCUCGUAGGCGGUCCAUCGCGUCGGGGAGUGAAAAGCUGGGGCUUAACCCCAGUCCUGCUUCCGAUACGGGUGGGCUAGAGGUAGGUAGGGGAGAUCGGAAUUCCUGGUGUAGCGGUGAAAUGCGCAGAUAUCAGGAGGAACACCGGUGGCGAAGGCGGCUCACUGGUCCGGUACUGACGCUGAUGUGCGAAAGCGCGGGGAGCAAACAGG